CAGCAUAUAAAUAUGCUUAAAAAUUCCCCUUCCACUUUCACUCUAUCUUAAACACCUAAAACGAAACCCUAACAGCAACAACGAUGUCUGGUUACGGUCACGAAGGAGAUGGAUCUGCUCCACCGCCCUCUUAUGGCGGUACCGGCGGUGGCUACGGUGGCGGAGGAGGAGGUUACGGAGGCAGCGGCGGCGGUGGAGGAGGCGGUUACGGAGGCAGCGGUGGUGGAUCUUACGGUGGAAAUCGUGGAGGAGGCGGUGGAUAUGGCGGUGGUGGCCGCGGAGGUGGUGGAGGUGGAGGUGGAGGUUAUGGUGGUCGAGGUGGUGGUGGUGGAGGAUAUGGUGGUAAUUCGCAAAAUCGAGGUGGAGGUGGUUAUCAAGGCGGCGGCGGCGGUGGUGGUGGUAGAGGCGGCGGCGGUGGUAGAGGAGGAGGUGGUGGUGCUAGAGGUGGUAGAGAAGGAGACUGGCCUUGCCCUAAUCCAGGCUGUGGCAACUCGAAUUUUUCUUGGAGAACCGAAUGCAACAAAUGUGGCACCCCUUCUCCUGCUGGCUCUGGCAGUGGCGGUGGCGGUGGCAGUGAUCGUGGCCGCAGUGAUGGUGGCGGUUACAAUAGAGGUGGGGGUGGACGCAGUGAUGGUGGUAAUUACAAUAGGAGCAGUGGAGGAGGAGGUGGAGGCGGAUAUGGUGGUGAUAGAGGAGCUAGGGGUAGCUAUGAUGGUGGAAGCGGUGGAGGAAGUAGAGGAAGUGGCGGUUCUUAUGGCGGCAGCCAAGGACGAGACAGUGGCGGAUACGGUCAGGGCGCUGCAGUCGGGUAUGGCGGAUCUGAUAACACUAAUAACAGUUACCCUCAACCACCCAACUCAUAUGGGUCUAACAACGCUUACGGAACCGAUGCUGUUCCUCCACCUGCAAGCUACAAUGGCGGACCAACAUCAUAUCCACCAUCCUAUGGCGGCACUGGUGUUGGUGGUGGUGGUGGUUAUGCUGGUGAUUCUUUGCCCGAUAAUCGUGGCGGUCGGAGUGGCUCAGCAGGUGGGUAUGCUGGUAGUCAACAGAAUCAAGGCAGUUAUGGUGCUCCUCCUGAAGAAGCACCUGGAAAGGUUAAACAAUGCGAUGAAAACUGUGACGAAACGUGUGACAAUGCACGGAUCUACAUUUCUAACUUGCCUCCAGAUGUCACCGUUGAUGAGUUACGAGAGCUGUUCGGAGGCAUUGGACAGGUUGGGAGAAUUAAGCAGAAGCGAGGUUAUAAGGACCAGUGGCCCUAUAACAUUAAGAUUUAUACCGAUGAACAAGGAAAGAACAAAGGGGAUGCUGCUUUGGUUUACGAGGAUCCUUCUGCAGCACAUUCUGCUGGCGGAUUUUACAACAAUUAUGAGCUGAGAGGUCACAAAAUUAGUGUCGGAAUGGCUGAGAAAUCUGCUCCAAGGGCCCCUUCUGCUUAUGGUCAAGGUGGUGGCGGUGGUGGAAGAGGUGGCGGCGGCUACGGUGGCGGCGGUGAUAGACGUAGAGACAACAACAGAGAUGGUGGGCCAGAUAGGAAUUAUCAUGGAGGAAACCGCUCUCGUCCAUACUGAUGAACAAACAAAACUGAGGGCAGUUAAAUUAGAGUAAAACUGUGAACGAAAAGAGAGAAAGCUUUAUUGUUUGCAAGGAGAUUAAGAGGUAGGUUAAACCCACUUGCCCCUUUUCUCCUUCUUUUUAUCUUUAUCUUUAUCUUAUCUUUGGAACAUGUUGAGUUGAUCUGAAUUGUGUGAAAUGUUUUUAUAGAGGCCAGUGCGUGCCAAGUGGAUGAUAUUUGUACUCCAAAUGCUUCUUUUAAGGUAGGUUGAGAUUUUCAGUCAUGUGGUGAAGCAGGGAGGAAAAGGAGCAAUGAUGAUUGUUGAAUGGCAGGACUAACAUGCCCUAAUGGCUUCCUCCUUUUUGACCUUAUGUUGACCACUUAAACCCAAGAAAUGUACACCUUUGUAUGAUUAAUCAGAAUAUGGGAUUAACAAACAUGACAUCCUCCGUUUAUCAAGGAUUCAUUUGUUAUCUGUUAAGGAAAGAAUUAGGGUUUUAGGUUGGCAAACAGGUUUUGUGUUGACUAGUACAACUCAUUUAAUAAACAUAACGCUUUUGGGUUGUCUUGACAAA